GAUGAACGCUAGCGGCAGGCUUAACACAUGCAAGUCGAGGGGUAUAGUUCUUCGGAAUUAGAGACCGGCGCACGGGUGCGUAACGCGUGUGCAAUCUACCUUUCACAAAGGAAUAGCCCAGAGAAAUUUGGAUUAAUGCCUUAUAGUAUAUCGAGUUGGCAUCAACAUGAUAUUAAAGAUUUAUCGGUGAAAGAUGAGCAUGCGUCCCAUUAGCUAGUUGGUAUGGUAACGGCAUACCAAGGCAACGAUGGGUAGGGGUCCUGAGAGGGAGAUCCCCCACACUGGUACUGAGACACGGACCAGACUCCUACGGGAGGCAGCAGUGAGGAAUAUUGGACAAUGGGCGCAAGCCUGAUCCAGCCAUGCCGCGUGCAGGAUGACGGUCCUAUGGAUUGUAAACUGCUUUUAUACGAGAAGAAACACUGCUACGUGUAGCAGCUUGACGGUAUCGUAAGAAUAAGGAUCGGCUAACUCCGUGCCAGCAGCCGCGGUAAUACGGAGGAUCCAAGCGUUAUCCGGAAUCAUUGGGUUUAAAGGGUCCGUAGGCGGUCAGAUAAGUCAGUGGUGAAAGCCCAUCGCUCAACGGUGGAACGGCCAUUGAUACUGUCUGACUUGAAUUAUUAGGAAGUAACUAGAAUAUGUAGUGUAGCGGUGAAAUGCUUAGAGAUUACAUGGAAUACCAAUUGCGAAGGCAGGUUACUACUAAUAUAUUGACGCUGAUGGACGAAAGCGUGGGUAGCGAACAGGAUUAGAUACCCUGGUAGUCCACGCCGUAAACGAUGGAUACUAGCUGUUGGGAGCAAUCUCAGUGGCUAAGCGAAAGUGAUAAGUAUCCCACCUGGGGAGUACGUUCGCAAGAAUG
rnacentral:rRNA from 1 species